GACGAACGCUGGCGGCGUGCUUAACACAUGCAAGUCGAACGGUGAUGCUCCAGCUUGCUGGAGUGGAUCAGUGGCGAACGGGUGAGUAACACGUGAGCAACCUGCCCCAGACUCUGGAAUAAGCGCUGGAAACGGCGUCUAAUACUGGAUACGAAACUGGCCCGCAUGGGCAUGGCUUGGAAAGUUUUUCGGUUUGGGAUGGGCUCGCGGCCUAUCAGCUUGUUGGUGAGGUAAUGGCUCACCAAGGCGACGACGGGUAGCCGGCCUGAGAGGGCGACCGGCCACACUGGGACUGAGACACGGCCCAGACUCCUACGGGAGGCAGCAGUGGGGAAUAUUGCACAAUGGGCGAAAGCCUGAUGCAGCGACGCCGCGUGAGGGAUGACGGCCUUCGGGUUGUAAACCUCUUUCAGCAGGGAAGAAGCGAAAGUGACGGUACCUGCAGAAGAAGCACCGGCUAACUACGUG
rnacentral:rRNA from 1 species